rnacentral:rRNA from 1 species
CCUUAGCRCGGUGGUCCCACCUGACCCCAUGCCGAACUCAGAAGUGAAACGCCGUAGCGCCGAUGGUAGUGUGGGGUCUCCCCAUGCGAGAGUAGGGAACUGCCAGGC